rnacentral:rRNA from 1 species
GAUGAACGCUGGCGGCGUGCCUAAUACAUGCAAGUCGAGCGAACGGACGAGAAGCUUGCUUCUCUGAUGUUAGCGGCGGACGGGUGAGUAACACGUGGAUAACCUACCUAUAAGACUGGGAUAACUUCGGGAAACCGUAGCUAAUACCGGAUAAUAUUUUGAACCGCAUGGUUCAAAAGUGAAAGACGGUCUUGCUGUCACUUAUAGAUGGAUCCGCGCUGCAUUAGCUAGUUGGUAAGGUAACGGCUUACCAAGGCAACGAUGCAUAGCCGACCUGAGAGGGUGAUCGGCCACACUGGAACUGAGACACGGUCCAGACUCCUACGGGAGGCAGCAGUAGGGAAUCUUCCGCAAUGGGCGAAAGCCUGACGGAGCAACGCCGCGUGAGUGAUGAAGGUCUUCGGAUCGUAAAACUCUGUUAUUAGGGAAGAACAUAUGUGUAAGUAACUGUGCACAUCUUGACUGUACCUAAUCAGAAAGCCACGGCUAACUACGUG